rfam:Spirochaetes bacterium GWB1_27_13 gwb1_scaffold_2143, whole genome shotgun sequence.
GGUCUGUUCGUCUAGUGGUUAGGACGGGUGAUUCUCAGUCAUCAAACAAGGGUUCGAUCCCCUUACGGACUG